UAAUUCAUAAAAAUCUAAAUCUUAAAUUGGAACGAUACAUGGCGAUUAGCAUGGCCCCUGCGCAAGGAUAGCACGCAAAGUCGUGAAGCGCUAAAAAAAACA